rnacentral:tRNA from 1 species
GGCCCCUUAGCUCAGCGGUUAGAGCGAGCGCCUCAUAAGCGCCAGGUCGCCGGUUCAAACCCGGCAGGGGCCACCA